rnacentral:tRNA from 1 species
UCCCCAGUGGCUCAGUGGUAAGAGAAUUUGCCUGAAAUGCAAGAGAUGCUCAGGAGACCCCGGUUCAAUUCCUGGAUUGGGAA